rnacentral:rRNA from 1 species
AUUCUGGCUCAGGAUGAACGCUGGCGGCGUGCUUAACACAUGCAAGUCGAACGGGAUCCCAGGAGCUUGCUCCUGGGUGAGAGUGGCGAACGGGUGAGUAAUGCGUGACCGACCUGCCCCAUACACCGGAAUAGCUCCUGGAAACGGGUGGUAAUGCCGGAUGCUCCAGUUGGAUGCAUGUCCUUCUGGGAAAGAUUCAUCGGUAUGGGAUGGGGUCGCGUCCUAUCAGCUUGAUGGCGGGGUAACGGCCCACCAUGGCUUCGACGGGUAGCCGGCCUGAGAGGGCGACCGGCCACAUUGGGACUGAGAUACGGCCCAGACUCCUACGGGAGGCAGCAGUGGGGAAUAUUGCACAAUGGGCGCAAGCCUGAUGCAGCGACGCCGCGUGCGGGAUGACGGCCUUCGGGUUGUAAACCGCUUUUGACUGGGAGCAAGCCCUUCGGGGUGAGUGUACCUUUCGAAUAAGCACCGGCUAACUACGUGCCAGCAGCCGCGGUAAUACGUAGGGUGCAAGCGUUAUCCGGAAUUAUUGGGCGUAAAGGGCUCGUAGGCGGUUCGUCGCGUCCGGUGUGAAAGUCCAUCGCUUAACGGUGGAUCCGCGCCGGGUACGGGCGGGCUUGAGUGCGGUAGGGGAGACUGGAAUUCCCGGUGUAACGGUGGAAUGUGUAGAUAUCGGGAAGAACACCAAUGGCGAAGGCAGGUCUCUGGGCCGUUACUGACGCUGAGGAGCGAAAGCGUGGGGAGCGAACAGGAUUAGAUACCCUGGUAGUCCACGCCGUAAACGGUGGAUGCUGGAUGUGGGGACCAUUCCACGGUCUCCGUGUCGGAGCCAACGCGUUAAGCAUCCCGCCUGGGGAGUACGGCCGCAAGGCUAAAACUCAAAGAAAUUGACGGGGGCCCGCACAAGCGGCGGAGCAUGCGGAUUAAUUCGAUGCAACGCGAAGAACCUUACCUGGGCUUGACAUGUUCCCGACGGUCGUAGAGAUACGGCUUCCCUUCGGGGCGGGUUCACAGGUGGUGCAUGGUCGUCGUCAGCUCGUGUCGUGAGAUGUUGGGUUAAGUCCCGCAACGAGCGCAACCCU